rnacentral:rRNA from 1 species
AUGCCCCGUCGCCGUCCGACCUCACCAUCGCCUCCGCCGCUCGAUGCCGCACCCACCCAUCACUUCCCCUUCACCGGAGACUCGCCGGAGAGCCGCCACCGCCGACGCCCAAGACUACCGCCGCCACCCUCUGCUUUUGAUUGUCCGGAGUGCAACGUGAGCUAUUGUCAGGAGUGUGACUUUCUGAACCAGAACCAAGACACCGAGACCGACGCCGCUGCUGCCCAGUACGACUACGGAGUUGACGACCCUUCUCUCUUGCCAGAGCAACCAGAUGUUGGAGCCCAGGAGCCAGACGCCACCUUUGACGACGACUCCUACUACACCGGAGGUGCCUACUACUACGUGCUGCCCACUGACGACGACCAGGAGUAG